UGGAAAACAAGAGGUACCUAGAGAAAAGCUUGCUCCUAUCCUGAGUUUCUGAAGAUCUCCGGCAUGCCCCAACUCCAGACCUUGGGAAAGCAUUGAAUGCAUUGGAGCUCUGUCCUGACUCAGGUGUUAGUUGUUCCCAUUGUGUCUUCAUACACUUAAGAUAUACAUGUGAGACCAGCAGAAGUUGGGCAUUGUGGCAGGCACCUGAAGUUCCAGCUACUCAGGAGGCUGAGGCAAGAGGACCACUAUGAUGAUGCCAGGGCACUCUACCCAGGGCAACAGAGUAAGACUCUGUCUCCAAAAAAAAGGGUGACCAGCAGAAUUGGUGCUCUUCAGCUAAAAAUAAGGAGAAUGUCAGUAGAAUCAUUUUUCUCUCCCUUUUUUGACAUUUAACUUUCUCUUUUUUCCUCUCCACUAUGUUCCAUUAAAAAAAAAACUGAACUAGUUUACAACUACAGCAUACAACACAACAGAUUGUUAACUAAUAGAAGGAUAUUUAAGAGAAGGACAGGAAGAGAAAGGUGAGAGCAGUUUGGUGUACAAAAUCCUUGCCAUAUAGUUGUGAGAGAUGAGCCAUAAAUGUAAUUUGGGGCUUCCCAACAGUCAAAGCUAAAAGGGAAACAUGGUCACUUAGCAGACAUGUAGAGCCCAGAAGAUAAAAGCAAACCAAGUGUCCUGGAGAAACACAGAGUUUCCUGGCACUGGGACCAAGAGAAAUUGUUCCUGUGAGUCAUCCUUCAGAGGACACAGUGUAAUGUCGACUCCACUUCACACCACAAG